UACGUAGGGUGCGAGCGUUGUCCGGAAUUAUUGGGCGUAAAGGGCUCGUAGGCGGUUCGUCACGUCGGGAGUGAAAACUCGGGGCUUAACCCCGAGCCUGCUUCCGAUACGGGCAGACUAGAGGUAGGCAGGGGAGAGCGGAACUCCUGGUGUAGCGGUGGAAUGCGCAGAUAUCAGGAGGAACACCGGUGGCGAAGGCGGUUCUCUGGGCAUGUCCUGACGCUGAGGUGCGAAAGCGUGGGGAGCAAACAGG
rnacentral:rRNA from 1 species